rnacentral:rRNA from 1 species
CAGCCGUAAACUAUGCUCGCUAGGUGUCAGGCAUGGCGCGACCGUGUCUGGUGCCGCAGGGAAGCCGUGAAGCGAGCCACCUGGGAAGUACGGCCGCAAGGCUGAAACCUAAAGGAUUGGCGGGGGAGCACAACAACGGGUGGAGCCUGCGGUUUAAUUGGACUCAACGCCGGACAACUCACCGGGGACGACAGCAAUAUGUAGGCCAGUCUGAAGACCUUGCCUGAAUCGCUGAGAGGAGGUGCAUGGCGUAGACGUCU